AUGGCUCAGGACGAACGCUGGCGGCGUGCUUCAUACAUGCAAGUCGAACGUGAAGCUGACUUCGGUCAGUGGAAAGUGGCGGACGGGUGAGUAACACGUAGGAAACCUGCCCUUUAGAGGGGGACAACAGUUGGAAACGACUGCUAAUACCCCAUAUGAGCUAAGUUGAAAUACUUAUCUUGAAAAACUCCGGUGCUAAAGGAUGGGCCUGCGGCUGAUUAGCUAGUUGGCGGGGUAAAUGCCCACCAAGGCGACGAUCAGUAGCUGGUUUGAGAGGAUGAUCAGCCACAAUGGGACUGAGACACGGCCCAUACUCCUACGGGAGGCAGCAGUAGGGAAUUUUGCGCAAUGGGCGAAAAAGCCUGACGCAGCAACGCCGCGUGAAUGUUAAGCCCUUCGGGGUGUAAAGUUCUGUCAGUGGGGACGAAACUUGACGGUACCCACAGAGGAAGCACCGGCUAACUCCGUGCCAGCCGCGGC
rnacentral:rRNA from 1 species